rnacentral:rRNA from 1 species
CAUGUAGGCGGAUUGAUAAGUUUGAAGUGAAAUCCUAUAGCUUAACUAUAGAACUGCUUUGAAAACUGUUAAUCUAGAAUGUGGGAGAGGUAGAUGGAAUUUCUGGUGUAGGGGUAAAAUCCGUAGAGAUCAGAAGGAAUACCGAUUGCGAAGGCGAUCUACUGGAACAUUACUGACGCUGAGGCACGAAAGCGUGGGGAGCAAACA